rnacentral:rRNA from 1 species
CAGCCGCCGCGGGAAUACGUAGGUGGCAAGCGUUGCCCGGAAUCAUUGGGCGUAAAGGGCUCGCAGGCGGUUUCUUAAGUCUGAUGUGAAAGCCCCCGGCUCAACCGGGGAGGGUCAUUGGAAACUGGGAAACUUGAGUGCAGAAGAGGAGAGUGGAAUUCCACGUGUAGCGGUGAAAUGCGUAGAGAUGUGGAGGAACACCAGUGGCGAAGGCGACUCUCUGGUCUGUAACUGACGCUGAGGAGCGAAAGCGUGGGGAGCGAACAGGAUUAGAUACCCCAGUAGUCCCUGUCUCUUAUAC